rnacentral:rRNA from 1 species
GACGAACGCUGGCGGCGUGCUUAACACAUGCAAGUCGAACGGAGUGGCGAACGGGUGAGUAACACGUGGGUGAUCUGCCUUGCACUUCGGGAUAAGCUUGGGAAACUUGGUCUAAUACCGGAUAGUGCAAGAUGAGCUCGGGGCCUAUCAGCUGGUGGGUGGGGUAAUGGCCUACCAAGGCGUCGACGGGUAGCCGGCCUGAGAGGGGGUACGGCCACAUUGGGCCUGCGGGACGGACCAGAGUCCUACGGGAGGCAGCAGGGGGGAAUAUGGCACAAUGGGCGGAAGCCUGAUGCAGCGACGCCGCGUGGGUGAUGAAGGUCUUCGGGUUGUAAACUCCUUUAGACAGGGACGCGGUACCUGUAUAAGAAGCACCGGCUAACUACGUGCCAGCAGCCGCGGUAAUAC